rnacentral:lncRNA from 1 species
UCCACUAUUGCUUUCACACGUUGUUCAGCAUUAUGAAAUUACUUUUCACCAAUUGGGUCAAAAGAAAUUAACUUGGAUGGCAACUUGACUGUAUUAACCCUCUUUGUGAUCAAUCUGGCUAAAGGCAAUCUUUCGUUAAUGGUCCAUGAUCUUAGGCCUCUCUUUGAACUCUGUAGCUCGCCCUUUGUUCAACAACAUACUUUUUCUUCUGAAUCACCAGCUUUUUGAUGCCUUCUUUUUUUUUAGCUCAACGAUGUCGUCCCUCCUUCAAUUUUGCCACUACUGCUCUCACCCGCUGCUUAGCAUUAUGAACUUGUUUCUCGCAGUUUAGGUAAGGAGGAAUUAACUUGAAUGGCAACUUGAUUGUCUUAACCCUCUUCUUGAUCAAUUUGGCUAAGGGAAUCUUUCACUAAUAGUCCAUGAUCUCGGGCAUCUCUCCAAGCGAACAACGUUGCCCCAAGUGUCCCUAGCAUGAAGCAUUUCAGUAAAGGUAUCUUCCUCAAAAGAUCUGCAAUGUGGCAAAAGAUGCAGGUGUUGACGACCCUCUCAUAGGAUACCCAAAUUAUUUUUUCUUUCCUUCUUUUUUUUGUUUCUUUUCUUCUUUUUUUUGUGUUUUUUUUUCGUUUUUUUUUUUUUUUACACACACACACAACAAUGGAUACCUAUGAGGGGAGACAUUAGGGUAAUUCUCGCAACAAUGUUCGAUACAUGAUAUUUGCUGCCAAGAGACACACCAUUUAAACUUUUCCUCUUCUGAGCCUGCACAGAACAGCGUUCAUUCAUUUGCCCCUUUGAUCUUUGGUUUACACUGUAGUAAUUCACCGAGGGGACAUGUAACAUUCAAGACUCCCUUACUCAUGCAAGAGAUGAAUCAUACAUACGACACCAAUAAACAACAUAAUCUUUUUCUUGUCUUUGGCUCGUAACACUGAUUAAGAGUCCCGUAAAUUUCAGUUAGGAGAACCAAGAUUGGACUCUCAAAGCAAACUUUUUAUCCUGUAAAUGCACUCAUUGCGGCGUAGUCAACAAAAUCCCUUGUACUAGGAAAAAGCAUGACACCAUAGUCGAUAAGAGCUAGUACAUUCACGUGUUUCCCACUUUUCCUCCUCGGUCAAUCAAUGCAAGAACCACCAUAGGUAUCCUUGAGGAAGGUCCCUUAUUGUACCUUUAAGUAUGAAUUCACUCUCCAACUUCAUAGGGGGAACUUUCAUUAUCCUUGCUAGCUACAAAUAAGGUAUAUACUGCCCAAGGUGGUAUGAAGUGUUUCCCUUAAGGAAUACAUUUAAGGUCUCCUCAAAUUCUUCUAUUGUUGGCAUCAACUAGAAAUGGGUCAUAGUGUUGGGCUAAAACAAUAAUUGUUGUUGUCUGGACCUCCACCUCUGACACGGUCAACAAAUUCCCACCCAUUCCUGAAUACAUUUUUUAAGGUCAUCUUUUUCAUAUCCCUCAAGAGAUUGAUACUGCCCC